rnacentral:rRNA from 1 species
UGGGGAAUCUUCCGCAAUGGACGAAAGUCUGACGGAGCAACGCCGCGUGUAUGAUGAAGGUCUUCGGAUUGUAAAGUACUGUCAUUGGGGAAGAACGGUUUUCUUGAAAAGAUUGAGAAGACAUGACGGUACCCAAGGAGGAAGCCCCGGCUAACUACGUGCCAGCAGCCGCGGUAAUACGUAGGGGGCAAGCGUUGUCCGGAAUUAUUGGGCGUAAAGGGCGCGUAGGCGGGCCUUUAAGUCCGGUGUGAAAGAUCAGGGCUCAACCCUGAGAGUGCAUCGGAAACUGGAGGCCUUGAGGACAGGAGAGGAAAGUGGAAUUCCACGUGUAGCGGUGAAAUGCGUAGAUAUGUGGAGGAACACCAGUGGCGAAGGCGACUUUCUGGACUGUAACUGACGCUGAGGCGCGAAAAGCGUGGGGAGCAAACAGGAUUAGAUACCCUGGUAGUCCACGCCGUAAACGAUGAGUGCUAGGUGUAGAGGGUAUCGACCCCUUCUGUGCCGCAGUUAACACAAUAAG